rnacentral:lncRNA from 10 species
CUUACUUCCAUUUACUGUAUGUCACUUUCCUUUUUCUGUCCAUAAAUCAUCUUCCACUAUGUCUCUGUGCUGGAGUCCCAGUGCCUGCUCUAGCUCAGGAGGCUGCCUAAUUCGUGAAUCAUCCAUUGCGCAAUUAAACUUCUUUAAAUUUAAUUUGGCUGAAGUUUUUCUUUUAACAGAUGGCAUCAGAAGUGAGAUCCAAAGUAGAGCUUCUAACGACCCCCAGGAGCGCUGAGUGACAAAGCAAUGUACUCAACCACCUGUUGUGCCCAUCGCUCGAGCUCUCAGAGCAGCUGGGGAUUGUGAACCCGAAGACUGGAUCUUCUAAGAACAUUAGAGAAUGACUAUCCUUGCCAUUCACACUGCAGCAAAACUUCAGAACCUUGAACCUUAGGUUCAUAAUCUCACUACUGAGAAGGGUCCCUCCACACUCUUGGCACUGUGCACCCAUUGGAACCCUUAAGGU